rnacentral:rRNA from 1 species
GAUGAACGCUGGCGGCACGUCUGACACGUGCAAGUCGAACGGCAAGGGGGCUUCGGCCCCCCUAGAGUGGCGAACGGCUGAGUAACACGUAGGAACCUGCCCCCUGGUUCGGGAUAACAGACCGAAAGGACUGCUAAUACCGGAUAACACCGCCAGGUUGAAAGGUUUACUGCCUGGGGAGGGGCCUGCGGGCUAUUAGCUUGAUGGUGGGGUAACGGCCUACCAUGGCGAUGAUGGCUAGCUGGUCUGAGAGGAUGAUCAGCCAGACUGGGACUGAGACACGGCCCAGACUCCUACGGGAGGCAGCAGUUCAGAAUCUUGCGCAAUGGGCGAAAGCCUGACGCAGCCAUGCCGCGUGGAUGAUGAAGGUCUUAGGAUUGUAAAAUCCUUUCACCGGUGAAGAUAAUGACUGUAGCCGGAGAAGAAGCCCCGGCUAACUUCGUGCCAGCCGCCGCGGUAACAC